AUUUCUGAAUCGACGAUCGGCUCCGUUAGACUUGAUCUUGGGUAUUUGAAGUUUCUAGAAAAUAAUUUUUGCGAUUUUUCGAUAUCAUUUACCUAGCAAUCAAAAGGAUUCAAAAUCAAUAAUUUUUAACGGCUGAAAAUAAAAAUUCUAUAAAAAGUGGUGAUAUAGCACUAAAAUUUCCGAUCAGAAAUAUUGAUCUUGUUGUAGAUAGUAUGAAGAAUUUUGUAUUAAAAUUUCAUCUGAUUUGAAUACUUCUAUACCGUUAAACUUGAAAACGGCAGAUAUCAACCAUUAAAAAUUAUUGAUUUUGAACGCUUCCGAUCACUAGGUAAAUGAUAUAAAAAUAUCGCAAAAAUUAUUUUCUAGAAACUUCAAAUACACUAGAUCAAGUCUAACGGAGCCGAUCGUCGAUUUGAAAAUUCCAUCAUCGAAAACGGCUCAGGAGCACGGA
rnacentral:lncRNA from 1 species